rnacentral:ncRNA from 1 species
AAAAAGGCUGAGAUGGAGACAAAGAUACCUUUAAUUGAACUUCAGAGAGCUAACGUUUGGUGAAAGUUAGUGUUCAAUGGGUAUGUAAUGAUCACUCCGGAGCUGCCAAGUCGAAAGCUUUAAUGUGAGUAGAUGAGGACGGGAGCUACCGAUAUAUAGCUAUAUGGUUAUGAUUGAUUAUUGCACUUUGCAAUAAGAUAUUCCGACCUGAUUUAACGAGGCGAAUAAGUAUAUCUAAUUUUAGGAUAUAUUUAUUCGUAAAGAUGGGUGGUACCACGGAGGAUAAGUCCUUCGUCCCAAUG